rnacentral:rRNA from 1 species
CGAGCGGGGUUUUCGGACCUAGCGGCGGACGGGUGAGUAAUGCGUAGGAAGCUGCCCGAUAGAGGGGGAUACCAGUUGGAAACGACUGUUAAUACCGCAUAAUGUCUACGGACCAAAGUGUGGGACCUUCGGGCCACAUGCUAUCGGAUGCGCCUACGUGGGAUUAGCUAGUUGGUGAGGUAAUGGCUCACCAAGGCGACGAUCUCUAGCUGGUUUGAGAGGAUGAUCAGCCACACUGGAACUGAGACACGGUCCAGACUCCUACGGGAGGCAGCAGUGGGGAAUAUUGGACAAUGGGCGCAAGCCUGAUCCAGCCAUGCCGCGUGUGUGAAGAAGGCCUUCGGGUUGUAAAGCACUUUCAGCGAGGAGGAAGGGUGGUGUGUUAAUAGCACAUCAUUUUGACGUUACUCGCAGAAGAAGCACCGGCUAACUCUGUGCCAGCAGCCGCGGUAAUACAGAGGGUGCAAGCGUUAAUCGGAAUUACUGGGCGUAAAGCGCACGUAGGCGGUUUUUUAAGUCAGAUGUGAAAGCCCCGGGCUCAACCUGGGAAUUGCAUUUGAAACUGGGGAACUAGAGUGUGUGAGAGGGGGGUAGAAUUCCAAGUGUAGCGGUGAAAUGCGUAGAGAUUUGGAGGAAUACCAGUGGCGAAGGCGGCCCCCUGGCACAACACUGACGCUCAGGUGCGAAAGCGUGGGGAGCAAACAGGAUUAGAUACCCUGGUAGUCCACGCCGUAAACGAUGUCUACUAGCUGUUCGUGUCCUUGUGAUGUGAGUAGCGCAGCUAACGCACUAAGUAGACCGCCUGGGGAGUACGGUCGCAAGAUUAAAACUCAAAUGAAUUGACGGGGGCCCGCACAAGCGGUGGAGCAUGUGGUUUAAUUCGACGCAACGCGAAGAACCUUACCUACUCUUGACAUCUACGGAAGACUGCAGAGAUGCGGUUGUGCCUUCGGGAACCGUAAGACAGGUGCUGCAUGGCUGUCGUCAGCUCGUGUUGUGAAAUGUUGGGGUUAAGUCCCGCAACGAGCGCAACCCCUA